UAGUGAAUGCCCUCACGGGCUUAUAACUAUUCCAAACCUCUGUGAACCGUGCCCUUCGGGGCUAUUUUACAAACAUGGUGUAAUGAACGUCAUAUAUCAUAACAAAACAAAACUUUCAACAACGGAUCUCUUGGCUCUCGCAUCGAUGAAGAACGCAGCGAAAUGCGAUAAGUAAUGUGAAUUGCAGAAUUCAGUGAAUCAUCGAAUCUUUGAACGCACCUUGCGCCCCUUGGCUAUUCCGAAGGGCAUGCCUGUUUGAGUAUCAUGAACACCUCAACUCCCGUGGUUCGCCAUGGUGAGCUUGGACUUUGGAGGUUUUGCUGGCCCACGGUCGGCUCCUCUCAAAUGAAUUAGCCUGCCAGCGUUUGGUGGCAUCACGGGUGUGAUAAAUAUCUACGCUUGCGAUCGCCCACCAGGUAACCUUCAGCGAUGGGGGUUCGCUGGGGCUCAUAGACGUCUCUCCCUCGGCGAGGACGGUUUUUUUAACGUUCG
rnacentral:misc_RNA from 1 species